rnacentral:rRNA from 1 species
UCGCGUUUUCGGAGCGGCCGAUAUCGGAUUAGCUAGUAGGUGAGGUAAAGGCUCACCUAGGCGACGAUCCGUAGCUGGUCUGAGAGGACGACCAGCCACACUGGAACUGAGACACGGUCCAGACUCCUACGGGAGGCAGCAGUGGGGAAUUUUGGACAAUGGGCGAAAGCCUGAUCCAGCCAUGCCGCGUGAGUGAAGAAGGCCUUCGGGUUGUAAAGCUCUUUCAGCCGGAAAGAAAACGCAUGGGUUAAUAACCUGUGUGGAUGACGGUACCGGAAGAAGAAGCACCGGCUAACUACGUGCCAGCAGCCGCGGUAAUACGUAGGGUGCGAGCGUUAAUCGGAAUUACUGGGCGUAAAGCGUGCGCAGGCGGUUUUGUAAGACAGAUGUGAAAUCCCCGGGCUUAACCUGGGAACUGUAUUUGUGACUGCAAGGCUAGAGUACGGCAGAGGGGGGUAGAAUUCCACGUGUAGCAGUGAAAUGCGUAGAUAUGUGGAGGAAUACCGAUGGCGAAGGCAGCCCCCUGGGUCGAUACUGACGCUCAUGCACGAAAGCGUGGGGAGCAAACAGGAUUAGAUACCCUGGUAGUCCACGCCCUAAACGAUGUCAACUAGGUGUUGGGGGAGGAGACUUCCUUAG